GAUCUUAGCAUAAUCAUUUGUCUUUUAAUUGAAGGCUUGUAUGAAUGGUUGGACGAGAGAUUGACUUUCUUUACUUAAAUUUUAUGAACUUGAUUUUUUAGUCAAAAAGCUUAAAUUUUUUUGCAAGACGAGAAGACCCUAUAGAAUUUUAUAGUUAAUUAAAUUUUAAUUUUAUUUGUUAAUUUUAUUUUUGAAUAUAAUUAAUUAUUUUGUUGGGGCGACAGUGAAAAUUCAAUAACUUUCAUUAUUAAUUUUUCAUUAAUUUAUGUAUUUUUUGAUCCUUUAUUAAGGAUUAUAAGAUUAAAUUACCUUAGGGAUAACAGCGUAAUUCUUUCGGAGAGUUCUUAUCGAUGAAUGGAGUUUGCGACCUCGAUGUUGGAUUAAAGUAAGUCUUUGGUGCAGAAGCUUAUAGGACUAAGUCUGUUCGACUUUUAAAUCUUUACAUGAUCUGAGUUCAGACCGGCGUGAGCCAGGUUGGUUUCUAUCUGCAAUAGUAUUUUAUAAUU
rnacentral:rRNA from 1 species